rnacentral:rRNA from 1 species
UACGGAGGAUCCAAGCGUUAUCCGGAAUCAUUGGGUUUAAAGGGUCCGUAGGCGGGAUGAUAAGUCAGUGGUGAAAGUCUGCAGCUUAACUGUAGAAUUGCCAUUGAAACUGUUGUUCUUGAGUUAUUAUGAAGUGGUUAGAAUGAGUAGUGUAGCGGUGAAAUGCAUAGAUAUUACUCAGAAUACCGAUUGCGAAGGCA